ensembl:lncRNA
GGGCAAUGUCUGAGCUGCAACAUAAGCAUCAAGUAACAGCGAAGAGCGCUAGCAUCAUCUCACCACAACAAACGGCCCACAGUCAUGUAAAUCAAACUUUUUGCAUUUUUAUUAAAUACUCUGUUUACAAAGUAAAGCAUUUCACACAAUCGUCAUUACAUUCAUCUCUAGAGUUCCUGAGUUUGUUAGCAUUCAUACAGUGCUUUCCUUCACACCAGAUGCACAAGAAAAGUGCAUGCUUGUGAAGAGACGUUCACGUACAUUCACUCAUGCAGCCUUGUGAGUUCUUGAACAUACCGCGAAGCGUACAGACCCAACCAAGGCACUAGUGUUGAUGUGCUGGUCAAAGUUGACUCGUUAUUUCUGUGAUGCACCUAUACAUCUGUAGAAUAAAUACAGUACAUGCAAUCAGUGAACGAAAGGGUUCGGUCUGACGCCCCGCACACGUAGUGAUGUCUACAAAUGUUUGAACACACUAUGUACAGUAUACACAAAAUAUGAAUAUAAAUAUUGCAAAUAUUUCACGUUACACAUAUAAAUAUAUUUCAGUUAUAAAUAGUGCUUAAGAAGCAUUGCUUAUCAGUUCAGGCCCAGACAAAGUCUCCAGAAGCCGUUGCAUUUUCUGAGCUUUAGUUGUAGAGUAAAAUCUGCAUAAUUUGGCAGAAUGCAUUUGAAUAUUGUGACAAAAACGUAAAAGAGACGAUCUUUUUGUAGCUGAAGGCAUUGCCAAAUUAGCCAAUAGAGUUUAUGGACAUUAGUGGAGUCCUGCUCAUCAAAGCAUAAAAAACAAGUCCUGAGUAAAUCAGUUUGGUCAGGCUUCUGCUGAUCACGUGCGAUGCAGCGCUCCAAAUCCGUCCACCAGAAACAUCCCAAAGCCAGAGUCAUUCAUCUCCAGUUUCCAGUUGUCUAGUGUGCCUUCAGUCUGUGAUUUGGCCAUGAGGCGGUUUUCAUUUUCCGGAAAGGUCACGACACGCCAACACGUCUGACUGUGAGGCGCUUCUUCGCUCCACACAGGCAGCGAGACGGUGCAGCUGAGCUCCUCACUAUUGUGUUUAUUGUAAAAGCUGACAGUGAAUUGGCCAGAUGGACAUCGUCCAGUGCAGGAAAAAUUGAGCUGGACGUACAGGAAGUAGGUUCCUCCUUCCUUGAUGUUCAGCACAUUCUGCUUUUCCUCAUAGCUGUAGCGAGAGCCAAUGGUUUGACCCUUUCCAUACGCGAAUGUUUCCCACGCCAUCACACCUGUUUUGAGUUCACCUGCAGGGCGGAGACAAAGAGACACACUCAGUCCCAAGACUUUAACAGAAGAAGUCAAUGUGCAGAUGUUUUUCCGGGUUCAAUACAAGUUCAUAAUGUUUUAGACCACAAGGAUUUUUUUUUUUUUUUUUUUUUUUUUUUUUUAAUCUCUCUCUCAGUCAUUUAAUCUCAGCCUUAUCUGUUUUUUUUUUAGUUACUUUGGCUUAAAUGAUAACCAUCCAUGCAUUUGAUCUCCAUUGUCUAUUAUUCAGCUCUACACAAAGAAAGGUUUUCCAAAUAAUGGCUGUAUGAGCACAUGCAUGAGCUGUAUGAGCCGUGGGAACAUAUUUUAUCUGGGGGCGGGGCUUGAUGUCGCAGGGCGGGGCCACGGUGGGGGAUCUUAGACAAAAUCCUAAUAUUAAACACUUAUAUACUGUAGAGGAGCAUACCAAUGAAUGGAGACAGAGUUAAAUGAGAACCAAUAUAUAUUGCUUUUAUGAUUUUAGUUCAAGACUUUUUUUCUUUAAUAUUUCUGUUAUUUAGGGGGGUUUUACUAAAUAUUAACAUUGCUAAUUGGCCAAAUUUUUGGUCAGUGCACGCACUCUGCACUUUGGCGAAUUCUCUCUUCAGAACCAACAUGCGAUGAUUCAUUCAUCAUACACUGCAGACUGGAGCUUUUCUUUAGAGUGCUU